rnacentral:rRNA from 1 species
UGGCGGACGGGUGAGUAAUGCAUAGACAACCUACCCCUGAGAUGGGGAUAACGCUUCGAAAGGAGUGCUAAUACCCAAUACUGUCUCGGUCCUGCGGGGCUGAGAUGAACGGAGGCCUCUGAUUCAAGCUUUCGCUCAGGGAGGGGUUUAUGUCCUAUUAGCUUGUUGGUGAGGUAACGGCUCACCAAGGCAGCGAUGGGUAGCCGACCUGAGAGGGUGACCGGCCACACUGGGACUGAGACACUGCCCAGACUCCUACGGGAGGCUGCAGUCGAGAAUCUUCCGCAAUGCGCGCAAGCGUGACGGAGCGACGCCGCGUGGGUGAUGAAGGCCUUCGGGUUGUAAAGCCCUGUUAGCUACUAUGAACCGCGGGUGGUGAAUAACCAUCCCGUCUGACGUAAGUAGCAGAGGAAGCACCGGCUAACUACGUGCCAGCAGCCGCGGUAAUACGUAGGGUGCAAACGUUGUUCGGAAUCACUGGGCAUAAAGAGCGCGUAGGCGGUCUAAUAAGUCAAGUGUGAAAGCCCCCGGCUCAACCGGGGAACUGCACUUGAUACUGUUGGGCUUGAGUGCAGGAGGGGAGAGCGGAAUUCCUGGUGGAGCGGUGAAAUGCGUAGAUAUCAGGAGGAACGCCAGUGGCGAAAGCGGCUCUCUGGCCUGCAACUGACGCUGAGGCGCGAAAGCUAGGGGAGCAAACGGGAUUAGAUACCCCGGUAGUCCUAGCCCUAAACGAUGGGUACUAAGUAGAGGGGACUCCGA